UACGUAGGGGGCUAGCGUUGUCCGGAAUCAUUGGGCGUAAAGCGCGUGUAGGCGGUCUGUCGCGUCUGCUGUGAAAAUCCGGGGCUCAACCCCGGACUUGCAGUAGGUACGGGCAGACUAGAGUGUGGUAGGGGAGACUGGAAUUCCUGGUGUAGCGGGUGAAAUGCGCAGAUAUCAGGAGGAACACCGAUGGCGAAGGCAGGUCUCUGGGCAUUAACUGACGCUGAGGAGCGAAAGCAUGGGGAG
rnacentral:rRNA from 1 species